CACAACUCUAAAUUUAGAACAAUCUUUUACAAUAUUCCAACAUUCCCUCCGGUUGAAUGAUUUAUUUUUGCUUUUGGUUUUGGCACCAUACCAAGCUUGUGCUUGAAGUUGCUACACAAAGCAGGAGAAGAAAUAAUUAUAGUGAAAGUAGGUAAAAAAUAAAUAAUACAAACAAAUAAUUAUAAUGAAAGUAGGUAACAAAUAAAUAAUACAAACAAAUAAUUAUAAAUGAAAGUAGGUAAUAAAUAAAUAAUACAAACAAAUAAUUAUAAUGUAAAUUUGGGUAUAGUACAAACAAAUAAAUAAUAUAUUGUUACAUGAUCCGCGUAAUUUUCCCCACUUUGAAGAUUAGUACUAGCUUGUGACAAGGCGUCUCUUCACGUACUAAACGAUUGGCUAAGUAAUUUCCAAUGACUGGACAUCAAUUCUUUGGUUCUUUUCCCAUCCAUUUUCUCAAGAUAAUUGGUAUGAAUAAGACUUCACAUUUCUCACAACUGCAUCUCAUUACCCGUAAGCGAACUAUGAGUAACUUCAACCCAGCUAGUACACAACGUAACAUCUUCACGAAGCGACCAAUUUGUACCUGCAUCAGUAGUUAUUUUGUUGAAAAAAAUUGGACUGAAACUUUGAGAGAAAGAUGAGAAUUUGAUUGAAAGUAGUUGAGAAAAUAUGAAAUUGUGGUGUAAGGUAAAUGAUAAUGAGAAGGUAUUUAUAAAAAAGUAAAAACAAUUUUUUUUAAAAAAAAUUCAGAUUUUUUACAAUUUUUUUAAAUUUUUAUUGAACUAAUUAAUUUCUGCCAUUGGAUUUAAAAAAAAUUGAUUUCCAACACUCCAGAUUGUGCCACAUGUCACAAUGGUAA
rnacentral:lncRNA from 1 species